GACGAACGCUGGCGGCGUGCUUAACACAUGCAAGUCGUACGGUAAGGCCCUUUCGGGGGUACACGAGUGGCGAACGGGUGAGUAACACGUGAGUAACCUGCCCACAACUUUGGGAUAACGCUAGGAAACUGGUGCUAAUACUGGAUAUGUGCUCCUGCUGCAUGGUGGGGGUUGGAAAGCUCCGGCGGUUGUGGAUGGACUCGCGGCCUAUCAGCUUGUUGGUGGGGUAGUGGCCUACCAAGGCGGCGACGGGUAGCCGGCCUGAGAGGGUGACCGGCCACAUUGGGACUGAGAGACGGCCCAGACUCCGACGGGAGGCAGCAGUGGGGAAUAUUGCACAAGGGGCGCAAGCCUGAUGCAGCAACGCCGCGGGCGGGAUGACGGCCUUCGGGUUGUAAACCGCUUUCAGCAGGGACGAAGCUUUUUGUGACGGUACCUGCAGAAGAAGCACCGGCUAACUACGUG
rnacentral:rRNA from 1 species